rnacentral:rRNA from 1 species
UGAAGAUAUUAAGGGCACACGGUGGAUGCCUUGGCAUAGGAAGCCGACGAAGGACGUGGCAAGCUGCGAUAAGCCGCGGUGAGGGGCAAGCACCCUUCGACCCGCGGAUCUCCGAAUGGGGGAACCCUGCUGGGGUCGAGCCCAGCAACCCCGAGCUGAAUCAAAUAGGCUCGGAGGAGGCAACCCGGGGAACUGAAACAUCUAAGUACCCGGAGGAAAGGAAAUCAACCGAGACUGCGCGAGUAGCGGCGAGCGAAAGCGCAAGAGCCUAAACCCGUGCGCGUGUAAGCCUCCAGGCGUUGCCGCACGUGGGGUAGUGGGACCCUCCGUCCCGUCGCUGGAGCGGCGGGGUCGGGUCAGAAACCCUCGGUCCAGGGGAACCGGCUGGGAAGCCGGGCGAUACAGGGUGAGAGCCCCGUACCCGAAGGACCGCGGGCCCGAGAGAGGGAUCCCGAGUAAUGCCGGACACGUGAAACCCGGUAUGAAUCUGGGGGGACCACCCUCCAAGGCUAAGCACUCUCCUAUGACCGAUAGCGAACCAGUACCGUGAGGGAAAGGUGAAAAGCACCCCGAGAGGGGAGUGAAACAGCACCUGAAACCGUGCGCCCCCAAGCAGCCGGAGCACCCUUCGCGGUGUGACGGCGUGCCUUUUGUAGAAUGAGCCAGCGAGUUGCGGUUGGCGGCGAGGUUAAGGCGUGAACCGAGCCGCAGUGAAAGCGAGCCUUUAAGAUGGCGAUCAGUCGCCAGCCGCAGACGCGAAGCCGGGUGAUCUAUCCAUGGGCAGGCUGAGGCAGAGGUAAGACUCUGUGGAGGGCCGAACCCACUUCGGUUGAAAACGGAGGGGAUGACCUGUGGAUAGGGGUGAAAGGCCAAUCAAACCCGGAGAUAUCUCGUUCUCCCCGAAAUAGCUUUAGGGCUAGCCUCGAUCGCUUACCGACGGUGGUAGAGCACUGGAUCCGUGCGGGGGCCUCACCGCCUACCAACCGAAACCAAACUCCGAAUGCCGUCGGUCCCGAGAUCGGGAGUCAGAACAUGUGGGCUAAGCCGUGUGUUCGAGAGGGAAACAGCCCAGACCGCCUGCUAAGGUCCCCAAAUCAACGCUGAGUGGCAAAGGAUGUGCGUUUGCCUAGACAACCAGGAUGUUGGCUUAGAAGCAGCCAUGCAUUUAAAGAGUGCGUAACAGCUCACUGGUCAAGUGGACAUGCGCCGACAAUACACGGGGCUAAGCGUUGUACCGAAGCAGCGGACUGUUUUAUCAGUGGUAGGGGAGCUUUCCAUGCCGGGGCGAAGCCGACGGGCGACCGUCGGUGGACUGCAUGGAAGUGAGAAUGCUGGCAUGAGUAACGAGAGAGGGGCGAGAAACCCCUCCGCCGUAAGCCUAAGGGUUCCUGGGCAAGGCUAAUCCCCCCAGGGUCAGUCGGGAGCUAAGGCGAGGCCGACAGGCGUAGCCGAUGCACAACAGGCGGACAUUCCUGUACCACCGCGGAGCGUUACUACGACGGGGUGACGGAGAAGGGUAGCCGGGCGGGGUUCUGGACGUCCCCGUGAAAGCGCGUAGGCCGCAGGGCAGGCAAAUCCGCCCUGCAGCAGGCCGAGACGUUAGACGAAGCUUCAUGUGAAGCCGGCGAGCCCAUGCUUCCGAGAAAAACCUCUAAGGAGCGAGGCGGUGCCCGUACCAAAACCGACACAGGUAGGCGGGUAGAGCAUACCAAGGCGAUCGGGAGAACCAUGGUUAAGGAACUCGGCAUACUGACUCCGUAACUUCGGGAGAAGGAGUGCCCCCGCCUGUGAGGUCCCACGCGGACGGAGCGGGAGGGGGUCGCAGCGAAACGGCCCAAGCGACUGUUUACCAAAAACACAGGACUCUGCAAAGCCGCAAGGCGACGUAUAGGGUCUGACGCCUGCCCGGUGCUGGAAGGUUACGCGGAUGAGUUAGCGCAAGCGAAGCCCUGAAGCCAAGCCCCAGUAAACGGCGGCCGUAACUAUAACGGUCCUAAGGUAGCGAAAUUCCUUGUCGGGUAAGUUCCGACCUGCACGAAUGGCGUAACGACUUGGGCGCUGUCUCAACCAUGGACCCGGUGAAAUUGUAUUAUUCGUGAAGAUGCGAAUUACCUGCGGAAGGACGGAAAGACCCCGUGAACCUUUACUGCAGCUU